rnacentral:lncRNA from 1 species
AAAAAUAGUUUCCGUCAUGAAACUUAAAACAAAAAACAGUGUUUUCAUUAAAAUAAUAUGAUACAAAUUUCUAAAGAUUCCAUUUCAUGUGGGAUUAUAUAAAACAACUCGGAAGAAACAUUUGCAUCAUGAAAUAAUCGAAUCUCCGGCACAGAGUUCAGGGAAAACGGUACUAUUUAUUCUGCCAUAGGCGACAAUACUAACAUUUUCUAAAUUUACCAGUUUUUAUAAUAAAAACCUGGAUAAAACAGUUAUGUGUGGUGUUAGUACUUUAUUACUGUAUUCUAAAAAUUGAAGCCAAAUAGUGUCAUGACCAAUUUCCAACGGAGCUUGUUUAUGUUAUCCAUGCCCACCGUCAUUUUGCACCAAAUUUAUGAAAUUUUGCAAGCCUUUUCGAAUAAUUUUCUAGAAAAUAUUUCAAUAGGUUUUAAAAUUUAUAUUGUAAAUUUACACACUGCAGUUAUUCAUAGAUAAAUGAAAAAUAUAUUGUACCCUUACAUCCAAUCACAGCGCUCCUAAGUUGACUUCCUUCUCCUGUCUUGGGUACACAAAAGGCCAACCUAAUGCUGGGAAAAUGUAAUACUACCGUUUUCCCUAUACUGUGACACAAAGC